GAUGAACGCUGGCGGCGUGCCUAAUACAUGCAAGUCGAACGAACAGACGAGGAGCGUGCUCCUCUGACGUUAGCGACGGACGGGUGAGUAAUACGUGGAUAACCGACCUAUAAGACUGGGAUAACUUCGGGAAACCGGAGCUAAUACCGGAUAAUAUAUUGAACCGCGUGGUUCAAUAGUGAAAGACGGAUUUGCUGUCACUUAUAGAUGGAUCCGCGCCGGAUUAGCUAGUUGGUAAGGUAACGGCUUACCAAGGCAACGAUGCGUAGCCGACCUGAGAGGGUGAUCAGCCACACUGGAACUGAGACACGGUCCAGACUCCUACGGGAGGCAGCAGUAGGGAAUCUUGCACAAUGGGCGAAAGCUUGACGGAGCCACGCCGCGUGAAUGAUGAAGGUCUUCGGAUCGUAAACUUCUGUUAUUCGGGAAGAAAAGAUGUGUAAGUAACUAUGCACGUCUUGACGGUACCUAAUCAGAAAGCCCCGGCUAACUACGUG
rnacentral:rRNA from 1 species